rnacentral:lncRNA from 1 species
GACUGGCUAAUUGAGUUCACCUCUGUUUACUAUAACCGUCCCUCUGCGUCUGCCUCCAAAUAUCAAAUGCUCUCCCACUUCCUCAAUCUUUAUCUUUCUUCACUUGUAUUCUUGUUUUCCCAUUGUCACUUUGCUCCCAAAAUCAAGCUUUUCCUUUAUUUAUAUUGCUCGGGGAAGCAAAAAUGGAGGGGUCUAACAAUUAUGGCCACCAACAUCCCCUGCUUCUUAUCUUGAAUGAAGAUCAGCUGCUGAAUGUAGCUAAGUGCUCAAGGUGUCGCGAGAAGGUGUCAACUCCAUGUUUUAGCUGUGCCGAGGAUUGUGGGUUUGACCUUCACAAGGUAUGUGCUGAGGCACCUUUGGAGCUUAA